rnacentral:misc_RNA from 1 species
GUAGGAGCCGGCUUGCUGGCGAUGGCGGUGUGUCAGUCGGCAUCGAUGUUGACUGACACACCGCCAUCGCCAGCAAGCCGGCUCCUAC